UAUAAAUGUGCCGAGAUAAGGUAUUUCCUCAUUACUGCUACCAGACUAUUACAAUUCAGAUUUUCAUAUAACAUAGGCAUUCUUGCUUAUAUGAAUCAUAGGAUCUUUUCUGAAUCUCACAAUUUUGGUGGUGUACCCUGCAACAGCAUGUUUGUUGUUAUGGCUGUUUUUACUUUGGUUUAGAAGGCAACCCAGCUAAGAGAUAGAGUUUCAGUGACAUGAAGUGUGUGAAGUGAACCUCCUAUCACAACACUACUACAAUAGUUCAUGACACUUUCUUUAGCAUCAGGAAAUUUUUCUCAACAUGUGGAGUAAUGCUGUUGGUUGCUGUGAAUUCCAUUUUCACGGUUUUGUCAUCGUGAACUUUUCAGUGUGCUUCUUAGAAAAGAGCACGCAGUUUCUUUGUGGAAUCGUGUGGUCCUGGGACGGAGAUUCUUGAGUCAACGCUGGUGUUUGCCCAUGACCAACGUUCUGCUCCAUCCUUAUCUUCCCGACGUAAGCUCAUCCAGCUUCUGCUUCAUCGCUUCGUACACAAAAAUAUAACUUGUCUUACUUCACUGACGAGUUGGAACACUUCAG